AGAACGAACGCUGGCGGCAUGCCUAAUACAUGCAAGUCGAACGAACUCUUCGGAGUUAGUGGCGCACGGGUGCGUAACGCGUGGGAAUCUGCCCCUUGGUUCGGAAUAACAGUUGGAAACGACUGCUAAUACCGGAUGAUGACGAAAGUCCAAAGAUUUAUCGCCAAGGGAUGAGCCCGCGUAGGAUUAGCUAGUUGGUGAGGUAAAGGCUCACCAAGGCAACGAUCCUUAGCUGGUCUGAGAGGAUGAUCAGCCACACUGGGACUGAGACACGGCCCAGACUCCUAGGGAGCAGCAGGUAGGGAAUAGUUGGACAAGUGGGACGAAAGCCUAGAUCCAGCAAUGCCGCGUGAGUGAUGAGUCGUUAGGUUGUAAGUCUCUUUACCGAGUAUGAUAAUGACAGUAGU
rnacentral:rRNA from 1 species